ACUUCUUCUCGAUUUCACCAGUACUGCUUAAUCAAUAAUUGAAAUAAUCUCUUUGUUUUUUAUUUCCAAAAGCGGAUUAUGAAAUGUAUGUUGAAAAUACUGAACACCAAAAACCCUUAAAGUACUUCUGUCUACCUGAUCGAAGAAAACUAAGAUCACUUCAACGAUUGAUGACAUGUAAAUGUCCAAAUAUUGUGAUCGAGAACGUGAAUAGAAUAACUAUUCGCCAAAAAGGAAAUGGAUCAUUGAAAAUAUUUGAUGUUAAACCAAUAGGAAUAUCUCCUUUGAGUCAAACGAUGGUACUGAAUUAUACGGAUUCCGAAGCCUUAGACGGCAACUUGGACACAUAUUACCAUUCAAUAGAAAUCACCCAGGCCUCCUGGUUCCUGAAAUUGGAUAAAAGCUAUGCGAUGAAAUGGAUGCUUUUAUCAGUCAGGGGAAGUAAAUGUUUGAUAAGUCAUUAUAAGUAUACUUGUUCAAAUGAGAGGGAUUCACAGCGGAUGUAACCGGUCGAAAAGGAAUGUUUACUCCUCCUCCUCCUUCGCACUUGACCCCACUUUUGAUAUCUCGAGGAGUAUGUGUUUAUCAUGUUCUCUAAUGUUGAUGAGAGAUAAGAUAUUUGAGAUUGAUCACCAAUUGUUGUAUUCAAUUCCUUGUAACCAAUCAAGCGUAAAACAUGAUUUUCAUAUGACCUUCGAAAUUUCACAAGUUUCGUUCGAUUCAAAUGUAUAAAGCUCACGGCGGGUGUGACUGGUUGACAGGUACCCCAUUUCUGGUAUAUCGAGCAGUUUGUGUUUGCCAAACUAACUAGUUUGUAUUGUUUAUAAGAUUGAUGAGAUUGAUCACUGUUCGUUAUCUUCACCCUUCAUUCAUUGAAUUGACCUGAAUUUUCUCAAUAUGUUGUAAUCCCAUUGUGAUCUGGGUUGGAAAGGUCCUUGCUACACCUUGCUCUAAAAUAUAAGACACCAUGUCAAAGCAGGUGUAUCAAGUUAAAGAUCCCUCCCUGCUCAAAUUCCAUAAGAGCAGUGCAUAGAGUUGAAUUUUUAGCACUUCACUGGCAAUGGUGAUGUUUUAAUGUGAGUGAUAUUGUUUUCGAGAGGGACCUUAAACAAUAUGCCAUUUAUCAAUCAAUAUCCUAUAAUGAAAAAAAAAGGAUUUUAAGGAACAGUGAUCAAUUUCCUAAAUACUAUAAAGAAUAUGAAAUAUAGAGCAGGUCAAAUACAGACCCCUUGCUGUUUCAGCAAUAGUCAUAUCAUGUCAUAACAUUGCCUUUGUAGGGCUCAGAAUUACAACUGUAUUUUAAACGAAA